rnacentral:rRNA from 1 species
CCUACGGGAGACAGCAGUGGGGAAUAUUGCGCAAUGGGCGAAAGCCUGACGCAGCGACGCCGCGUGAGGGAUGAAGGUCUUCGGAUCGUAAACCUCUGUCAGCAGGGAAGAACGGUCACUGUGCUAAUCAGCAGUGAAUUGACGGUACCUGCAAAGGAAGCACCGGCUAACUCCGUGCCAGCAGCCGCGGUAAUACGGAGGGUGCGAGCGUUAAUCGGAAUUACUGGGCGUAAAGCGCUCGUAGGCGGUAUGUCAAGUCAAGGGGGAAAUCCCCGCGCUCAACGUGGGAACUGCCUUUGAAACUGGCAAACUGGAGUGUGUGAGAGGAUAGUGGAAUUCCAGGGGUAGGAGUGAAAUCCGUAGAUAUCUGGAGGAACAUCAGUGGCGAAGGCGACUAUCUGGCACAUAACUGACGCUGAGGAGCGAAAGCGUGGGUAGCAAACAGGAUUAGAUACCCCUGGUAGUC